GGCAGGCAGACCAAAAAAAAAUACCAGUAUUUGGAAAAAAUUUUUUUUCCCUGUCCUUUUCUCCAUUUUUUGAUUUCUUUCUUCUUUGCCCUUUUAAGAAAUGUUUAAAGGAGUUUGGUAAAAGUUUCAGCCACCCCUACCCCGGCUACUCCCAUCUGAGCCCUGGUUCCCCCGACCUCUCCAGCCUCCUCGUCGCCGUCAAUCCGACAGUUCCUCCUCUUGAUGAUUACUGUUAGUUUCUGCAUUGAAGAUACGGUUGUGCAAGUGAAUCAAGACAAUCAGUCAAAUGGCCUUAACCAACUUCAUACUCACGGUGGCCGUAUCAGUGCUAUGAUUCUGCUGCUUAGGAGUGACGUCAAGCAAUCUGCCACCAUCUUCAGACACAACGUCCGACAGAUACGCCAUUGGCUUGAGGAAGAGUCUGCUUCUGCUGCAAAGGAGAUGGAGAGGGCAAAGCCAAAGGAGAUGCCUGGAAAGGAUGCACCCAAGGAGGAAAAGCACUCUCGUAAGGGGAAGGGGAGCCAAAGAAGCCUUGUGUCCAAAGAAAGCCUUGUGUGUUAGGGACUAGUAGCAGUAUUAUCACAAUGUAAAAGUAUAGGUGGUACAGGUUUAUUCCAAACGGGAAUUUCAGAUAAUAAAUCCCUUAACCAACUGGCCUCUUCACUGGCAGAAGGUUUGUUUUAGGAAAGAAACAAAAAGAAAAAGAAGAAAAAGAGAAGAUAAAAUCUCUCCCUAAUUAUUUCUUUUUGACCAAAUACACUAUUGAUUCAUUUUUACACUCAAUAUCUCCCUACAUCUUUCUUUUCAUUUGGUGAGGAACCCAUCAUUUGAUUAACAGAAAUUCCACUCAUUUGCUUGGACUCUCUCGACUCAUUGGCAAACGGCCAACACAUAAACACAGUAAACAAACAACUCCCAAGCUUCCCGCUGAAUUUUUAACAACAACAUAAACUUACCAACUCUGCUCUGUCUCUCGGCUUUUCCUUUUUUUUUCCCUCAACAGACGAACACGCACAAAAAGAAGGAAAUCUCCCUCACCCUCUCUCGGCUCUAUCACUCCCUUUUUUUCAAUUCACACAACACACCCACACACAACUCAAACACAACAAAGCAAGCAACAAAGGAGUGAAGCUUGGGAGUUCCUUCAAAAAUUUGACUGAGAAGCUCUUGCUUGGAUUGAGCAUUACAACAUAAAUCUCAAGAUAUUUUGAAUGCACUGCAUCUUGUCUCAAGCACAACAAAGCUACUGAAGAAUUUUCGAGAUUUGGGAUGGGAUGAUUUCUCUGUGAAUGUUAAAUUAUUUUGUGAGCAACAUCAAAUUGAUAUCCCAUGCAUGAAUGCUCAAUAUAUUGCAAGACGUGGUAGAUCUCGAAGUCAUCAUGAUGAGAUUAGUGUGGAGCAUUAUUAUCGAGUGGAUAUAUUUCUUACAACAAUUGAUUAUCAAUUGCAAGAGUUACAUAGCAGGUUUAAUGAUCAUACCGUGGAAUUGCUUAUUUUGAGCACUGCUUUAAAUCCUAGAAAUGGAUUUAUGCUGUUCAAAAUUGAUGAUAUUUGUAAACUUGCAGAGAAGUUCUAUCCAAAUGAUUUUAUGGAGCAAGAACUAGAACGUCUAAGAAUAGAACUUCAACAUUUUGAGUUCGACAUUCCAAAUCAUCCUGAAUUGCAAGAAUUAUCUGGUAUUAAUGAGUUUAUGUCAAGGCUUGGUGAAGACAAGAAAAUCAGUGAUAUAUCCUGUUAUUGAUAGAUUGAUUAGACUUGUUCUUACUCUUCCUGUAUCAACUGCAACUUCAGAGCGGGCAUUUUCAAUUAUAAAAAUAAUCAAGACAAAGCUCCAAAACAAGAUGGAAGAUAAUUUCUUGAAUGA